CAUUAUCAAUGGUGGCAACAAAGCAUGGUGUGCUGGGUGUGCAUCAUUCAAUAUCUAAGUAUUUUAAUAUCACGCUCAGUUAUAAUGUAUUAUGGAAAUGCAUAAAAAGAAUCAUAGAACCGUGAAAAUCGAAUCCGAAUUAAAAUUUCGGUUCCGAUUCUUGUAAUUUCGGUUUUAAAUUUAAAAACCGUGCGCAUACGAUUCCGGUUCCACCCCUCGAGAACCGUUAAAUAAACCGUGCGCAUACUAUUUUUUUUUAGGUUUUUUGCCCUCAAUCUCAGAUCUCUCACUCUCGAGUCUCAGUCCUCGCCUCCUCUCAAUCUCUGAGAUUCUCUCUCUCCUUUGGCUCUUCACUUUGAAAGAGCAGACCCUAAUCAAGUUAUCUGAGCAAGCACAAGGUAGAAGACGAUGCUGAGAGUUGCGGGUAGGAGGUUAACCUCUCUCUCAUGGAGGUCCACCCAGACAUCAUCGGCCUUCGUCAACAGAAAUCCAAUCAACGGCUCUGAUUCGCCAUCAUCCGAUUCCAGCUGGUCCACCUCCCAACUCCCCUACACAUUUUCUGUCUCUUCCCAAUUUCUGGAUCAAAUCAGAGGUCAGCCCUCUCACCUUUGUUGCUCUCUCUCUCUCGUCUUUCAGAUCUAGGGCUCAUAUAUUUUUGCCUACUAUGCAUCUGUUCAUGGCUUUGGGUUUUCUUUUCUGAUCCAUUUGAUUGUUAGCAAGAUAUACAGGAACACGUAUAAAAAUUAGAUUCCUUACCUGUUGGUGUAUUUUUUUUUUCAUUGUAUGGUGCCUGAAACCUUCAUGAUUGAUACUAGUAUUUGGUUUUGUUGAGUUGAAUUUCUCACUUUUUUGGAUUUGAAAAAAAAAAAAAAAAAAAAAAAAAAAAUAUUCCAAGCCCGACCAUCAAACAAGGAAAAAAACCAAACAAAUUUCAUAAAAAUAAAGAACAGUUCGAACAGUAGACAACCAAUAAUCGUGAAGGGCGGGUUAGAGCAUCUCCAACCGAUGCUUCAAAUUUCAUACCUCAAAUUUAUUUGAGGUAUGAUAUGGAAAAUUGACCUAUGACAUUUUGGCAUACUCCAUAUGUCAAAUUUAUUAAUUUAUUAAUAUUUAAGGUUUCGAAUGAAGAUUUUCAAUAUGUCAAAUUUAAAUUGUUUGUGAGAUCCAUAAAUUAAAAUAAUAAAAAAAAAUUUAUUUGACAUACUACUUUUUGAUAUACUAAAUUUGACAUAGUUGAUGGUAUGGCAUGCUAAAUAGGCAUUCAAGAUAUUGAUUGGAGGAGUCUUGAUGUCAAAAAAAAUAGCUGUCGCAAAUACUAUUUGACAUAUUUUAAUUCACAAUUCUAAACAUUUUUUUUUAAUAAUUGAAAUUUCUUAUAUUUAAAUUAUACUAUUAGAGAUGGACACUGCAGGACAGACAAUUAUCACUAGAGAAUAUCGAUUAGUAAAAUUUAUCACUAUAGAAAACUUAGACAAACAAGUUGCAAAAUACCACAUUCUACAAGUUUUAUUUACAUUUUUUUUGCAAAAGUCCUUUGAUUUCAAUAUCCGAUUGGUAGAUGGGGAUUUGUUUGUCCCUCCAAAAAAUUAUUUGCACUUAGUAGGAACCGAUUCUAAGACCUGAUGCUUUUCUAGAGCGGUAUUUCAAUAUGCAAUUUUUUAUUUUACUUUUUGACAAUGCAUUAUUAUUUUUUGGGUCAUUGGCAAAAACACACACACUAAACUCAUACACCCGCUUUGGAGACUUGAACCCUUAAAUCUACUUUAGAAGGUAGAGGAGAUACCGCUAGGACACUAAGUCCUUGGUAGCUUUUUGACAAGGUAGGGGAGUUUAAUACAAAAAAAUAUAUACAUAUAUUUAAUUAACAGUUUGGUUUUUCAACCCAAAACGAGAAUACUUCUUUAUGUUUUAAACCGAAACUGAAAGGAACCAUAAUAAUAAUAAUAAGGUAAAUUAUACGGACCUUCCUAUGGUUUGCCAUAAUUACAGGGCUCCUAUAUGAUUUGAGAAAUUACUCGGACCUCCCCUAAAGAUAAAAUUAACCUACACGGACUACCCUUUUGUUAAAGUCAACGUGAGUCAAUGUGAGUCAAUGAUGAAUUUUGCUAAUGUAAUGUACUUGAUAAAUUAAAAUUUUCAUUGACAUUUUAAACCUUAAAAAUCAGUAAGUAUUACCAAAAUACCUCAUCCUACUAAAUAGCAAAAAAAUUUACCUUAUCAAUGUAUGUAGACCUUUGGUGAACUAGUGUGAAAAAAAAAAAAAAAAAAGUAGGAUUUAUUGUAGACCCACUUCUGUCCAAGUUGUUUCUCAUGUUUGAAUUUAUGAUCUGAAGUUCUUUUUCUUUAGACCUAUUUUUCUUUUUCAUAUGAAGCCAAUAAUCUCACUGAUAUAACACAAUAUACAUGAGCAUCACAACCCCCAAAUAGCCAUUAUAGGUUAGAGUGGCGAGGAGAGAUUGAUGUGGAUGUUUUUGGGUUUGUCUCGCUACCGUUCAGACUUUGCUUGCCGAAUCAUCGCCGGAUUCCUUACUACCCGUCGUUCAGACUUUGCUCGUUGGCAUCGUUCAUCGCCACCGUUGGAACUUCUAUCCUUUGAAAGCAAGAUCAAACCCAAAACCUCUUCGGCGGAGCAAGAGGUCAUCGAUCCGGCUCACCGGAGUAAACCAAGUAGAGAGAGGAGACGGAAGGUCGGCGGUAGCGAAGCACUGCGGCGGCUUCCCCUUCCAGAAACUGACACACCGCUCCUUCUCGGAAUAGACCCAGCACUGCUCCGGUCUCUGUUCCUCUCCUCUUCUUCACGACGGCGGCUUCGCCUAAAUCAGCCUCCGCUCCUUCCCGGUGCUUGACAGUGGCAGAGAGUUGAUGUUGAGGCAGAGGGCGUGAAGAAGAUCACGGUCGAAGCUCGGAGUCUGAAGCGCGGUCGCCGAAGAAGAGGGGGCGUGUGUGCGCGUGAAAAUGUUACGUAUUUCCUUUUAUUAUAUUUGUCAUUAUAUUCUUCCAGCUCAUGGCAUCUCUGUUAGUUAGUUGAGGCCUAAUAAACAGGAAAGAAAUAGUUUUCUCCUGAAUUAAUUGCAAGUUAACUUCUUUUGCUAUUUAGUUGGUAGAGUCCUCUUAAUUCUCUAUGUUAGUUGGUAGAGUCCUACUGUUACUGAUUUCUGUUGUAAGUAGCUUCUAUUUAAGUUGAAGGAAUCAUGAAUAAAGUAUGCUUAUCCGUUGUUCAACCUUGAGUUGUAUCAGAGGUCUCGGUUCCUCAAUUAACCGUUAAUUCUUUUUCUUAGAUUGCAUUAUAGGUUCCAGUAAACAAAAGAGGAAUUCUCCUCAGUACGCCCCACAGUGGUAUCAGAGCAAGGGCAUGGAUACACAGGUGGAUAAAUUGGAGGCAGACGUAGGAUCGCUCACCACUGGCCAACAAAAAUUAUGGAGAAGCUUUCUUAGCUUUUCGAAAAGCUCAAUUUGCGACCCAACCCUGACCGUGAUGAAGGAGAGCACUCAGUAGCUGUACUUCAAAUUUUGGAAAUCGACUUAACAAUGGUAAUGGAAUUCGACAAAAUGGAUCGCAACAGUCUUAUCUUCCCAAGAUUGUUAAACUUGAUUUUCCUCGUUUCAAAGGCGAAGAAGACACAACAAGUUGGAUCAGUAUGUCCCAGAAAAGCACGUUAGAUCUACUCGCAGGAGCGCGUGACGUGCUUGGAGCCUGGAAAAACUGACAAACUUGGCAAUCCGGCCAAGCCACUCCUCCUCUCUGUUCGUUCCGGUGCUACAGUGGUGUGGAUAAGGAAAAAGUUGCGGUGGUGGUGGUGAUGUGGAGAGGGAAGUGGCGCCGUUAGAGAGGGAUGGUGUAGGCGACAGUAAGUGAUUAGUUUCUCGUGGUGCGGCUCGAAGUUCAGUCUGGCGGCGAUGGUGGUCUGUGGUGUUCAGUCCCGCGGCGAUGGUGGGGUGUGGUGUUGAUAUGCCGAUAUGAGAGUAUAGAGAGAGAAUAUGUAAAUAAGGGCAGUAUGGUAAUUUAAUUCCAACUUUUUGGAUCACAUGAUAGCACAUGCGUGUCAUAUCAAACCGGAGCCUUACCGCCGGAUUGGAACCUCCAAGUAGAAACCCCAUCGCUAUUUACAGUACGAAGGUGAAGACAACCCCAAGGAUACCCAAGGUAAAAAAAAUUCUUCAUGUCUUAUUUAUUUAUUUAUUUUUUGUGUGCAAGACGUUUAAAGUUUUCACCAUACCCGUGUUCAUUAAUUCAAGUUGAGGUGGUUAUUACUUGUUACAAUAAAAUUAUAAAAUAUAGAAUUCUUAAAUAUGGGCCUACUAGAAUUUGCAAUAAGGUGGGAUUCAAUUAUUUUGUAGUUGUUGAGUUGUAUGCAUAGGAAUGUGGUAUCAACUCAUUCUAGUUUUUUAUUUCCAAAAAAAAAAAAAAAAAAAUUAUUUAAGUUUCAAAAACUUUUAAGGAUUCAAUUUUCUAGACUACAUAUUGAAGUAGCAGAAAAUAUAAGAAAUAUUAUUUCAAUUAUCAGACUAUCAAAUAAAUCCAUAAAAAUGCUGCAUGUGUUUAUGCUGCAAAAUGUUCUCAUUGUUUAAGUUAUUUUAAAAGGGGGAUCCAUUUUAAUUUCUUAACUUGUUAAAUUAUGGGAUAGGGGCUGAAGCCAUGUGUUUGCUGAUCUUGGCCACAUCACCAAGAAAGCAAUUCAGGUAAGCAAUGGGUUCCCAUAAAGCUAUAUUGAGUUUCUUGACUGAAUUCUAUUAACAUGAUUGACUUCAUUAGAAUGUUCUCUCUCGCAGUUGGCUUUCUCUUCAUUUGUUUAUCCAACUUUGAUCCUCAUGAAGCUGCCUAUUUGAUUAAACACCUUGAUAAUAUGGGAAAUGCCUUUUACAGUUCCAUUCCUAAACCAGUACUAACCUAUGUUCGUUAUAUCUACGCUAGCUGCCAUUGUUGCAAGCCAAUCAAUGAUAUCUACAAGUUUCUCUAUCAUAAAGCAGUCCCUCACUCUUGGUUGUUUCCCUCGGGUUAACAUGAUGCGCAUUUCCUCCAAGCAUGAGGGGCAAGUCUAUUCUCCAGAAAUAAAUUACACACCAUGAUUAUCUGUAUGGCUCUUGUGGUCAGAUUCAAAGAUGUUGUUGAAAUAGGAAAUUCAUUUGGUAAACCAUCUUCUUAGAUACACAUUUUCUAUUUUUAAUGUAACUUCUGGCUUUCAUAACAAUGGCAAGUGUGGUUGUUGUUUGGGUCAUGAUCAUAACGCCUUUCUUGAUAACAUUAGUUAUGCUUGUGAUAUGGGACACGAAACCUCUCCUCAUCUGUGCCUUUUUCUUGCCAUUUGUUGCAAUUGAAGGCACAGAUGGGGAGAUGAUUUGUGUCCCAUAUCACAAGCAUAACUAAUGUUAUCAAGCAACUCGUUAUGAUCAUGACCCAAACGACAACCACACCUACCAUUGUUAUGAAAGCCCGAAGUUACACUAAAAAUCAAAGAAAAUAUUCACUCAAUAGAAAUUGAAAAUGUGUAUCUAAGAAGAUGGUUUACCAAAUGCAUUUCCUAUUUCAACACCAUAUCUGAAUCUGACCAGACCACAAGAGCCAUACAGAUAAUCAUGAGGGUGUAGUUUUUUUUUUUCUGGAGAAUAGACUUGCCCCUCAUGCUUGGAGGAAGUGUGUAUCAUGUUAACCCGAGGGAAACAAACGAGAGUGAGGGACUUCUUUAUGAUAGAGAAGCUUGCAGAUAUCAUUGAUUGGCUUGCAACAAUGGCAGCUAGCAUAGAUAUAACGAACAUAGGCCAGUACACUGGUUUAGGAAUGGAAAUGUAAAAGGCAUUUCCCAUAUUAUUAGGGUGUUUAAUCAAAAAGGCAGCCUCAUAGGUGAGGAUCAAGCUUGCCCCCCCUCUAUCUUUGCAACUGCUAUCUUGUAUGUAUGGAUUUUGUUUUUAAUUUUUUUCUAAAUCAACUAAUAAUCAAGGUCUGUAUUUCUUGUUUUGCAUACUAAAUCCUAUUUGGUGAAAUUUUUUAUGAUGUUUUUAAUAUAAUUUUUUUUAUUUACAAUAAAAGUAACAAAAUUUGCAUUGCAUUUUGAGAUAAUCAUUGCAUUGCAUUUUGAGAUAAUCACCUUAAUCUACAUUUUAUUUCAGCAAAACAAUUUUUUAUUUAUUUUUAUUUUUUAUUUCUAUAACUUCUAUUUCUGUUUUUUGUUGUCGUCAAUUAUGUCUACAAGAAAAUUUGAAUCUGGGCAUGAAAAAAGAUAAAGAAAAAAAGAAUCUGAAUUGGAUUACAAAUCUGCCGAGAUUGAAUCUGAAACAAUUUUUAUCAACAUGCCAAGGUUUUGAAGAUCUAAAUGUUUUCAGAACUAAAAAAAAUCAUAACAAGAACUACCUCAUAGUGUUGAGUGAAUUUCAUAGUGUUGGAAGGGGGCUUGCCAUGAACUACCUCACACUCUGCUUCCACUAGUAGAUUCUCAAAUAGGAUUAGUAAAUUGGUCAAAAGAAGAGAUAGGGUACUGAGUGGUGAAUUGUUCAAAAAUAAAUUGGCUAUUUUUUUUUUAUUAAUUGCCAAAUAGGAUUUUCUAUGCCUUAAUCAGUCAAUUGUCUAAAGAAACAUUGUUAAUUAACUAAAAUUGAAUUAAACAAUAGUUGAUUUUGGUUGAUAUAUUUUGAUUUAGCCCACCCCAUUGAGAAAUCCUGGAUCCGCCCUUGGUGAAGACAACCCAAACGCCCGAAUAGCCUUGAUUGUAGCAUAGAAGCAUGGAAGACGCCAUAGUGACUGCUAACCAGAGCAAAGAACAUCUUGAAAGCGGCGGCAUAUAUGUAUGGUGAUUCUGAGUCUCAUGACCUACCCAGAUCACUCAGUUUCUACUGGUACUUAUAUCUGCCUCCUCUAAGGAAACCCAAGGACUAUCAUGGAGGGGAAACAGUGUUACUGGCAUUCCAAUCACUAGGAGUUGUAUAUGGAGACCUUAGAACACCUCUCCUCCAUGUCUUCUCCUCCAUUCGCCUCUCAAUCCCCGGUGAAGAGGACCUGCUCGGAAUAUUCAGUUUGAUCUUCUGGACUUUAACUUCAAUUGCCUUGAUCAAAUAUGUAUUUAUCGUUCUUCAAGCUGAUGAUCACGGAGAAGGUGGUACAUUUGCUCUCUAUUUAUACCUCUUUCGUCUUGUUAAUUUCCGGAACACCCAAGAAAGUGCUGUGAAAUCUAGGACUAAGAAGUUCCUUGCUCAGUCCGCCUUAACUUUUGUCGUAAUGCUGGGAAUUUGCAUGGUAAUUGGCGAUGGCGCUCGAACUCCUGCCACUAGCGGUAAUUUCACAUACUAUAGUAAAUCUAUUGCUUCUGGCUGUGUUGAGCUCCAAUUUUAUUCUCGUUUGAUGUUUUUUUUUCUUCUAUGCAUAGCCACAGAGCACUAUAGCGUUAUUCUUAAUACAAUUAUUACGUGUUGUAGUUAUCUCAGCCCUUGGAUUCACUCGUUUCCUCAAAGAUAACACAAAGUGAGCUAUGUUGUAACACUCCAAAAGCAUUUUUAAAAAAAAAAACUAUAAUUACUAUUUUAACUAAUUCAAGUUCAAUUUAUGUUUGUCUUAGAGCAUGUUAUUGCCCUUGCGGUUGUGCUACUUCUAUUCGUCAUUUUCCAGCAAUGUGGAACAAGUAGAGUUAUGGUUCUUAUCAAAUGCUGCAAUUGGCAUAUUAGCAUGAUUGGAGGGAAAGA